rnacentral:rRNA from 1 species
UACAGAGGGUGCGAGCGUUAAUCGGAAUUAUUGGGCGUAAAGCGCAUGUAGGUGGCUUGUUAAGUCUGAUGUGAAAGCCCUGGGCUUAACCUGGGAACUGCGUUGGAAACUGAUAAGCUAGAGUCGGACAGAGGGCAGUGGAAUUUCCGGUGUAGCGGUGAAAUGCGUAGAGAUCGGAAAGAACACCAGUGGCGAAGGCGGCUGCCUGGGUCCAGACUGACACUGAGGUGCGAAAGCAUGGGGAGCAAACAGG